AGAGUUUGAUCCUGGCUCAGGACGAACGCUGGCGGCGUGCCUAACACAUGCAAGUCGAGCGAAGAAUUUAUCAUGAAGCCUUCGGGCAGAUUGAUAAACUUCUUAGCGGCGGAUGGGUGAGUAACGCGUGAGGAACCUGCCUUCUACAAGGGGAUAGCCUCGGGAAACCGGGAUUAAUACCCUAUGACACUAAUUCUCUGCAUGGAGAAUAAGUUAAAGCGUUAGCGGUAGAAGAUGGCCUCGCGUCCCAUUAGCUAGUUGGUGAGGUAACAGCUCACCAAGGCAACGAUGGGUAGCCGGCUUGAGAGAGUGACCGGCCACACUGGAACUGAGACACGGUCCAGACUCCUACGGGAGGCAGCAGUGGGGAAUAUUGCACAAUGGAGGGAACUCUGAUGCAGCGACGCCGCGUGAGUGAUGAAGGCCUUCGGGUCGUAAAGCUCUGUCCUAUGGGACGAUAAUGACGGUACCAUAGGAGGAAGCCCCGGCUAACUACGUGCCAGCAGCCGCGGUAAGACGUAGGGGGCGAGCGUUGUCCGGAAUUACUGGGCGUAAAGAGCGCGUAGGCGGGUAAUUAAGUCAGAUGUGAAAGACCGGGGCCUAACCCCGGGGUUGCAUCUGAAACUGGAUAUCUUGAGGGCAGGAGAGGAAAGUGGAAUUCCUGGUGUAGCGGUGAAAUGCGUAGAAAUCAGGAGGAACACCAGUGGCGAAGGCGACUUUCUGGACUGACCCUGACGCUGAUGUGCGAAAGCGUGGGUAGCAAACAGGAUUAGAUACCCUGGUAGUCCACGCUGUAAACGAUGGAUACUAGGUGUGGGAGGUAUCGACCCCUUCCGUGCCGGAGCUAACGCAAUAAGUAUCCCGCCUGGGGAGUACGGUCGCAAGGCUGAAACUCAAAGGAAUUGACGGGGGCCCGCACAAGCGGUGGAGCAUGUGGUUUAAUUCGAUGCAACGCGAAGAACCUUACCAGGUCUUGACAUCCCUUGACAGCCUCAGAGAUGAGGUAUCUCUUCGGAGCAAGGAGACAGGUGGUGCAUGGUUGUCGUCAGCUCGUGUCGUGAGAUGUUGGGUUAAGUCCCGCAACGAGCGCAACCCUUGCUUUUAGUUGCCAUCAUUAAGUUGGGCACUCUAAAGGGACUGCCGGUGACAAACCGGAGGAAGGUGGGGAUGACGUCAAAUCAUCAUGCCCCUUAUGUCCUGGGCUACACACGUGCUACAAUGGUCUGUACAGAGGGAAGCGAAGCAGUGAUGUGAAGCGAAUCCCACAAAACAGAUCUCAGUUCGGAUUGCAGGCUGCAACUCGCCUGCAUGAGGCUGGAAUCGCUAGUAAUCGCAGGUCAGCAUACUGCGGUGAAUACGUUCCCGGGCCUUGUACACACCGCCCGUCACACCACGAAAGUUUGCAACACCCGAAGCCGGUGGCCUAACCCGUAAGGGAGGGAGCCGUCGAAGGUGGGGCAGAUGAUUGGGGUGAAGUCGUAACAAGGUA
rnacentral:rRNA from 1 species